UACAGAGGUCCCGAGCGUUGUUCGGAUUCACUGGGCGUAAAGGGUGCGUAGGUGGUGGGGUAAGUCGGAUGUGAAAUCUCGGAGCUCAACUCCGAAAUGGCAUUGGAAACUGCCCUGCUAGAGGGUCGGAGGGGGGACUGGAAUUCUCGGUGUAGCAGUGAAAUGCGUAGAGAUGGGGGGGAACACUCGUGGCGAAGGCGGCCAGCUAGACUAGUUCUGA
rnacentral:rRNA from 1 species